CCUCUUACCAUUCCGAACAGAGAAGUUAAGCCCAUUAGCGCCGAUGGUACUGCCACUGGUGGGAGAGUAGGUCGUUGCCUUUC
rnacentral:rRNA from 1 species